CUAGGAUGGUGCCUGGUCCAUGGUGGACAGUAACUGGUCUGUUUUGAAUGCAUGAAUUUUCAUCGUAGUUUUUGUGAUUGUGUUUAUGAAGACACUGGAGCAACAAUGUUCUGCAAUUCUAGAGAUCUUGAUGUGGUGGCAGCCUUGUAUCCAGUCCUAUGUGAGCUUCCUGCAGGGCAACUUUGGCAUAUUCUCAGCAAACACAGAGUUGUUGGAUUUCACAUAAGGAGACUGUUAUCAUUUGGUCCUUGACAACUUUCAUAAACAGUCACUCUUAGCUUAACAAGCAAGUGUGUAACAGUUAAAAUUGGAAGAAAAAUAAGGCCAAAAUGGCAGCUUACUA
rnacentral:lncRNA from 10 species